rnacentral:lncRNA from 1 species
UUGGCCAUAAUGAACGUGUGCGCAUGUGCUCCAUAAGGUGAGGAUAGAUACCAGUCUUGCAGCCAUCUUAUUUUUAUUACUCUCUUCAUCUCAUAGCGGUUGUGUAUUGAAGUCAUGGCCUGAUUAAAAGAACCUUAGAAUAGCAAGAUAAAAAUUUAUCACCCUUUUUCCCCCUCAGUCACGGGCAUGGGCCACGCAACGUUACGGACUCGUGACA